UCUUCACGAUCAAAAAAAAUGUCAACAGAAAGAAGAAACGCGCAACAAAAUUACGUUGAACUUUGAAUACAUCAUAAAAAGUUUCUCUUUACAUGUUUUUGUAAAAGAAUGUCAAUGAUGGACCGGAAUAUGGAUCAUUUUAGCACAUUUGUGGCUGUGGUGUCAGGAGUAACUUUGUUGUAUAUCUUUCAUUCAGUUUUCUACACUUCUCACAUCUCCUUUAAAUCUCACACAGUCUUUGACUCCCGGAGACAUUUGCCAGGUUCUGUUUAUCUUAUGACCAGAUACCUUCACGAAUCUCUCCGCAAAAAACGAGGACAAAUGUGGAAAAACAAAGACACAAAAGACAAGCUUGUUUUCACUUUGAUCAACUGCAAGUAUGAUGCUGUGUCUUUGAGGAGGUUCUGCAGUGUUUCGGGUUACGGUUGGGACUAUCCUGACAGUGACUUCAGAGAUGUUCCCAUGUGCUAUCCCGAGUUUCUCUGCACCAGACUGCUCACCAUGAUUGUGUGCUCAGAGAGAUUCAAUCUAAGCCCUUUGGGUCUGUUGAGUGUCCGUGAGGUCUUGAGGUUGACUGAGCCCGUGGAUGAGCUGAAAAGAGGGACGUUUUCUCUGCAGGCCAGAGUGCUGGAGUACAGGACCGUUAGUGCGGGAGUGGAGGUGGAUCUCACUUUAACCGCAUCCAGACAUCAGCAGACCGUAUGGACCACCACACUGACUCUACUCUCUCCUAACAAUAAUUUCAGGCCUGAGGCUCAGCCUGACUUCGAGAUCGCCCAUGAUCCUGUCUCAGAGAGAUGCAUCAGCCUGGCUGUUCCUUGGUCCAGCGGUGUGAGAUGUGCCUGGGUGUUUGGUGACCUCUGCCCUCUGCAUGUGUUUACUCGUCCCUCCGCACACAUGCUGUGGAUGUUCUCCAGAUGCAUGGCAGAGAUGGAGAAGCACAAUGGAGUUGAAGUGGUGAGAGCUCCUCUGACUGUGUCCAUCCGUUACAAACAGCCUGUGUAUUUUCCGAGGAAAUUCACCAUCAGAGUCAGUGAAAACACUUCUCAAACCUCAAGCACAGCAUCAUUCUCAGUGGAGGAUCACAGGACUGGGACACUGUACCUCUCAGGACAGAUUAAACAACAGUCAAAGGAGACGGCAGAGUGAUGAUGUGACCUGUCUCUUGGAACAGCGCUCUCUGAGGUGUGUUAGGAAGAGCUUGCCAUGGUCACCAAAGACAACGCUAACUCUGGCUCUGUUGGAAAGACAACCUGUGUGAAGAAGCAAAAGUGUAUGAUGAACAGUUCUCAAAAGGAUGGGACGCUUUUCAGGGACCCGCAGAAGACCAUUUUUGAACCCGAACUGACUCUAGAGGUCACGGCUAAUGAUGGAGGGAAAACAAAUCCGACAGAGGUCGCAUCGAACGGUGUUAUAGGAACAAAUGAACAGACAUGUAAUUCAUGGAGCGUUUCCAAUGUCCAAAAUCUGAAAGAGAUGCAAUAUCUGCACCACGAGGCGGAGGACAGUCUAAUCGACGCGUCACUGGACAUUGACAAGUCCUCUCUAAUGGGUUUCAUCGACUCCAGUUACCUGGAGAGCUCGGAGGAUGUUCAGACCGUUCCCUGCAUCCAGGUGGACGUGAAAACGGAUGUGGUGCUGAUUGAUGAGGAUGAUGAUGAUAUGUCCCUUAGGGAGAGGACAGUGACGGACAUGUCCACUACGGACGGGAACGCGGCCGAGCUCGUGUGUGGGGGUCUCCAGUCAAUCUCCUCUGACUCCUCCCACUCUUUGUGUGAUGGGCGGAGUCAAGAGCAAGGCUCGAUCAUGGAGACUCCUAAUGAGGAGCAGGAGCUGCCCAAAAAACACACACGUUCCUGCUGCCUCUGUGUUAUCAUAUGAUAAAAAAGGGCCAAUAUUAUACACUUUUUGAGCAUUUUUUUUCUUAAACGUAAUUUUAUAAUGUUACGGCCUGUUCAUAUCAAGGACGAUAAAAAUUACUUUAACGUCAACUUUAAAAGACAAUAUCAUUCUGUUUAUUAAAAGCACGCUUUGCAGUUUUGUCGUCUGCCACUUUAAAUACUUGAGCGCUUUAAAGAAGGAUGGAUUCUGAUUGGUUGUCAAAAAUCAUUUAAAAAUUAUUCUGAAAGUGAUUCCAAC